rnacentral:ncRNA from 1 species
AUGAUACUUAGGAAGUAGUUGAGCUUGAUACACUUUAAUUUUUUUUUUUUUUUUUUUUUUUGCCUGAGCAGGCAAUGGCCCGAAGCUAUCAUCCGUUGGGUUAUGGCUGAACGCCUCUAAGUCAGAACCCGUGCUAGAACGCGACGAUUACCGCCUUGUGCCAUUUUUAGUUGAAUACGAAUAGACCCACGGUCCUGAAUCUUACGAACGUGGGAUUAUCUUGCAGAGCGGAAAGGCUUUGUGAGGUUCCUGCUAAUGUUAAUUUCAAAUAUAGCACGAGAUAAAUCCAUUGCAGACGACUUUAAUUGAACGGGGUAUUGUAAGCAGUAGAGUAGCCUUGUUGCUACGAUCUGCUGAGAUUAAGCCCAUUGUUCUAUAGAUUU